CCAAUAGCGUAUAUUAAAGUUGUUGCAGUUAAAAAGCUCGUAGUUGAAUUUCGGGGUCAGUAGGUCGGUCGUGCCACUGGUAUGAACUGGUUUUACUGAUUCCUCCCUCUUGAAGAACUGUAAUGCCAUUAAUUUGGUGUUGCAGGGAAUCAGGACUGUUACUUUGAAAAAAUUAGAGUGUUUAAAGCAGGCUUUAGCUUGAAUACAUUAGCAUGGAAUAAUGAAAUAGGACGUUUGAUCCUAUUUUGUUGGUUUCUAGGAUUGACAUAAUGAUUAAUAGGGAUAGUUGGGGGCAUUAGUAUUCAAUUGUCAGAGGUGAAAUUCUUAGAUUUAUUGAAGACUAACUACUGCGAAAGCAUUUGCCAAGGAUGUUUUCAUUAAUCAAGAACGAAAGUUAGGGGAUCGAAGACGAUCAGGUACCGUCGUAGUCUUAACCAUAAACUAUGCCGACUAGGGAUCGGAUGAUGUUAAUUUUUUAAUGACUCAUUCGGCGCCUUACG
rnacentral:rRNA from 1 species